AAGAGAUAGGGCAUCACCAAGAGAAGCAUUUGGUCGCAACAUAGCAAAUGGCCGUAUAUUUGAUUCCCCAAUUUUUGGAACCCAUGUACCUAGAGGAAUUGUACAAAUAGGUUGUUGAAGAACAGGCAACGAGCUAGCAGAGUGCCUAAAGUGCCUGCAUAUACCUGGAAUUUAGGUCCAUGUGUUAGCAAACAUGUUAUAUAACCCAAGCAAUAAAGCAAGCAAGCUUACAUUUUAAUAUUCCUGACAGAGAAGCAAGAUGUAGUAGCUGGGGAAAUGAACCAUCCGGUGAAGAAGUAUGAAUAAUGGGAAUCGUCGAUAUUUUGUUUUGCAAAAUUUUCAAUGCAACAUCUUUCAAAGAAUCAUGUGGCCCAGCCUGCAUAUUACUGGAGUUGUUGAUAAUAAUCUAGUGAUAAAACAGAUUGCAAAUACCAGACACGAAGGACGAACUACAAAAAAGCCUGUCUCAAGCAAUUCAUUUGUCCCAUCAAAUCCAUAAACUUAAUUACAAAUGUAUGCCAUAGCCUACUGUCUAAAAUGAGCAGUUCAGACCAAAUGGAGCAUAAUUAUUGAAACCAGCUAUCUCGUUUAUGUCCUUGAAAACAACAUGCACACCAAUUGCUUAUUUGCAGAUGAUCACAUGCAUAUGAGAAUAAUUUACAGUACUUCAAGCCUUAAUCAUGUAAGAUGCAGAAAAAAUAACAAAGCAAAGGAGAUGGAUCUGUUUUGUUAUCCUGAUUAUGUUGGCAAGGAAUCUUUGAUGCGACUUACAUGGAUGAGAUGCCAAGGAUGUGCUCUCCCAUUGCCAUUAAUUUGUCUGUUAAGAUAUAAUUUUCCUUCCUUCCAAGCUGAUAUAGUAUGUGUCUCCAAUUCUUCCUCUGUCAAAUUGGACCCAUGAUUUCCAAGCUCCCUCAGAAUCAAGAUAAAGUCCAACGCACUAAGAACUCCAACAAACUGGCCCUUUACAAAGUCCCAGAGAGGAGCUAGAGGGACACCCUGUUCAUGAAGAAUAUGGAAUGCUUGCUUGACUGGUAAAUUAACAUCCAAGGCAAUAACCUUGCCUGACUCGGGAAGCAGCUCAUACACAGUAUGCAUGGACAAAAAUGCAGAAAUACGGUGACGAGAAACCUGUAAAUCAGCCUCUGAUAUCCUUGAGAUUGCUCCCGGACGUGAAAAGGCAUCAUCCAGCUCCAUAUUAGAUCCAGAUGUCUCAAGAUCAAGAACUGGAGUAUUCAUAUAAGGUUGACUAGGUAAGAAAACUGUAUUUACUACCCCAUAAUUCCCACUUACAGAGGGCUGGUGUUCAUCAUGCCGCCAUUCUCCGUCAACAAAAAACUUGUACUGGUGGUGUCCUGGUGUUAAGCUGCAAAUAACUUGGAAAACAGUCGGGCAUCCCUCCAUUGGUGACAUAGGUAUGUGUUCAGUCCAACCAGUGAAAGAGCCACUGAGAAAGACACUCCUCCCUCCGUACGGCCACACAAAGCGCAUAGGAACCACUACAGUAUCUUCAUGGCCGGUAGCUGUACUAGAACCAAACAUCGCCCUCCCAAAAACAGUUUAUGUAUAUAUAUGUGCGACAAUCAAUACCAAUCCACAAAAUGCCAAGUAUGCAAAAUCCCUCAACUUGCCAAAAACAAAGCCUUCAAAUCAACUGAUUGUUAUUAUUUGCAUUUCUCAACCUCUUCAACAAUAAUAAUUAGGCAAAUAAUAAAACAAUUAAUAGGGAUCCUCCACAGUCUAGCAGAGGACCCCUUACUGCUUACACAUGUAGAGUCACCAAAUCAAAGCCAAAACCCUAAAAUUUAUAAAAUCCAAAUCCUUAGAAAUCUCCUUCUCAGCAUUCAACCAAAACUCACUGAAUUUGAGCCCCAAACUGAAGAAUUCCCACAAAUCCACUAGAUCCUCAAUUGAAGCUUUUGAUCCGGUCCAAAAAAACAAAACUUUAGAGGUGAAUCGAAUCUGGGAACCCAAAACAAUGAACACUGGGCACAGAAUUGAGUGAGAAAAGAGUGGGUUUAGUGGUAAUUUAGAGGGACAAUGGGAAUGAUAGAGAAAGAAAAACCGCAAUUGUUAUAGGGGCAGGAUUAAAGAGAAAUUGGCAUUGUGGUGUUGGAUCUCAAAAGAGAUUCUUUGUGGGUUUUUUAUUUUUCUUUUUUCUUUUCUUAAGCAUCAUAAUUUAUUUUGUCACAAGUCAACUUAAAUUCACAACCCUCAAUUAAUCAUACAACAGUUGUUCAUAAGUAAGGACCAUCAUAGCUAAAAUAUCAGAAAAUAGCCCUCAUUCUGCAAAAUGGAGAAUUCAUCAGUUGAACACUCUCUUUACUCUUUGCUUUUCAGUUGGGGAAGAGAAAGAGGGAAGGGGGGAGAAUGUUUCAAACAGGAAAUUCUAUGGCCAUAAAUAGUGUAAGGACAUGGUAUUCUGACCAGCUCUGGUGGAAGUGCUGAU
rnacentral:misc_RNA from 1 species